GCUCAAGUAAUCCUCCCACUUCAGCCUAUUGAGUAACUGGGACCACAGGUGCACACCAUCAUGCCAGGAGAAACAAAUGCCAAACAGUGAAGGUCAAGAAGGCCAUAGUGAUAUAUGCAAGUUCAAAAAGUGGAAGAAGCUUUUACACAGAGAAAUAUCAAUCAGCCAGCUUUUCAUGGCUGAUGCCUGAAAAUAUCAUCCACCUGUGUCUCUGAGCAUACUUUGGCUUUGACUCCUAGUGAUAUUACAUGUAAUGUCAUGGCUAGAUAUUUCAAUUUCAGAAACAAAUGAUUCCACUGAAUAGUAAGACAUUUGCCAACUGGACAAUAAUUCAUAAGGAGAGGGUUCAGAAACUGUAAGUUUUAUUAUGAAAAGGUAAGGAAAUCCAACCCUAGAUGGAGGUAACUUGGAAAGAAUGAUUGGUUAUUUUGUAUAACUCUAAAGGGCAUAACUAGGACUAACAAGUCAAAGCUUUCAGGAAGAAAAUUUCUAUAUAAUGUGCAGAAAUUUCAAACAGUUGAUCAGUUGCUUUUGUUAUUAUUGUUAGAGACAGGAUCUCACUAUGUUGCCCAGGCUUGAUUCUAACCUCCCCCACUGCCAACCCCCCGGCUCAAGCAAUCCUACUGCCUUAGCCUCUUGAGUAGCUGGGACUACGGGCACACACACACACACCACUGCACCAGGUAAAUUUCUAACAACUCAAAGUGUUAUAAAGGAAUAGGUCGCCUAGUAGCAUGGUCAGCGGUGUCUGUAAGACUUCUCGUCAGUCAGGCUGCGGUAUGGGAUUGAAGUGGAAGAUCACUAAGAAAUGGAGGGAAUGAAUUUCAGAAUGGGUGGGGGGUUUCAGGGUGUUGGGUCAAUAGCUGUCUUAUCAAUGGAGCUGAGAAUGAAAACCUAGGAAAAGUGACACUGGCUCUAGAAGGGAACUGGGCCAUCUGCCUUAUAGACCAUCUGCUAAUUUGUUGCUCAUUUAUUGGUGAAACUUGGGAAGGUAAUGGAUAUGUAUGAGCUCUCUCAGAACUUGCCUUGUUGCCUAAUGGAUAUCUUUGACUUUUCCAACUCCAAGUAUCUGUAAAAGUUCCUAAUUUCCUCAUAGACUUGUAAAACCACUCAAACCCACCAGGCCCUUAUUCUGUUUCCAAGAUCACCUUUCAGGUGUCACCGUGUUGACAAGUUAUUUGGAGCUCUAUUGACCUUGUCUCAUUAUUGGAACUUUUCUAAUAUCUUGAAUGCAGAUGGAAGGAAAGGAGACAAUAACAACAAAAAAUAAAACUGCAACAGCAUGAUUUAUUAUAGUAUAUAUUUCUCAGAAGAGACAAAAACAGCAUCAAUGAAGAGCAAUCAUAGAAGGUUCACAGUUGCCUCAGAACCAAUUCAACAAUUCAUAGGGGGUUGGCAUCACAUAAACAGCUGGGAAAAAGCAGUUAAAUGAUUUUCUACAUGCUCUUAGGGAGAGACUGUGUCUAAUCUGAUGCAGUUGCUCCAAAGGAGCGCAGCUAAUGACAUCUACACCAAAUAUCAGUUCAAUAAAUUGCUUCCUUUCAUUAA